rnacentral:rRNA from 1 species
UGGGGAAUAUUGGACAAUGGGCGGAAGCCUGAUCCAGCAACGCCGCGUGAGGGAUGACGGCCUUCGGGUUGUAAACCUCUUUCAGUACCGACGAAGCGAAAGUGACGGUAGGUACAGAAGAAGGACCGGCCAACUACGUGCCAGCAGCCGCGGUAAUACGUAGGGUCCGAGCGUUGCCCGGAAUUAUUGGGCGUAAAGGGCUCGUAGGCGGUUUGUCGCGUCGGGAGUGAAAACAGCGGGCUUAACUCGUUGCUUGCUUUCGAUACGGGCAGACUAGAGGUAUGCAGGGGAGAAUGGAAUUCCUGGUNUAGCGGUGAAAUGCGCAGAUAUCAGGGAGGAACACCGGUGGCGAAGGCGGUUCUCUGGGCAUUACCUGANGCUGAGGAGCGAAAGUGUGGGGAGCGAACAGGAUUAGAUCCCUGGUAGUCCACACCGUAAACGUUGGG